rnacentral:rRNA from 1 species
AGUAACACGUAGACAACUUACCUCUUAGCGGGGGAGUAGCCCGCCGAAAGGCGGGGUAAUACCGCGUAAGAUCCUGAAUCGGCAUCGGUUUAGGAUGAAACAUCCGUAAGGAUGGCUAAGAGAGAGGUCUGCGGCCUAUCAGCUAGUUGGUGAGGUAACGGCUCACCAAGGCAACGACGGGUAUCCGGCCUGAAAGGGUGAUCGGACACACUGACACUGAGACACGGGUCAG